AGAGUUUGAUCCUGGCUCAGGAUGAACGCUGGCGGCGUGCCUAAUACAUGCAAGUAGAACGCUGAAGGAGGAGCUUGCUCUUCUGGAUGAGUUGCGAACGGGUGAGUAACGCGUAGGUAACCUGCCUGGUAGCGGGGGAUAACUAUUGGAAACGAUAGCUAAUACCGCAUAACAGUAGAUAUUGCAUGAUAUCUGCUUAAAAGGGGCAAUUGCUCCACUACCAGAUGGACCUGCGUUGUAUUAGCUAGUUGGUGAGGUAACGGCUCACCAAGGCGACGAUACAUAGCCGACCUGAGAGGGUGAUCGGCCACACUGGGACUGAGACACGGCCCAGACUCCUACGGGAGGCAGCAGUAGGGAAUCUUCGGCAAUGGACGGAAGUCUGACCGAGCAACGCCGCGUGAGUGAAGAAGGUUUUCGGAUCGUAAAGCUCUGUUGUAAGAGAAGAGCGAGUGUGAGAGUGGAAAGUUCACACUGUGACGGUAUCUUACCAGAAAGGGGCGGCUAACUACGUGCCAGCAGCCGCGGUAAUACGUAGGUCCCGAGCGUUAUCCGGAUUUAUUGGGCGUAAAGCGAGCGCAGGCGGUUAGAUAAGUCUGAAGUUAAAGGCUGUGGCUUAACCAUAGUACGCUUUGGAAACUGUUUAACUUGAGUGCAAGAGGGGAGAGUGGAAUUCCAUGUGUAGCGGUGAAAUGCGUAGA
rnacentral:rRNA from 1 species